AUAAAGUUGUGGUUGCAAAAAAGGUUCAGAAGUAAUAACAAGUCCAAAGCACAUAAAAUGGAGUCAUCUACCAUCAUUGAUGACUCUGGAAAGUUUUUGCCUGGUUUCAUGUUGUGAAAAAAUGAUGCUCUGAACGCCAUGUAGGUUUUGUAACUGGUGACUGUAUAUGUUCCCAUAUCUAUUAGGCUCUUUUUUUUGUCCCCCUCCCCAUUUGCCUUGUGUAAUUUCUUGAAAGGGACUCAAUUUAUGGACUGUUGCAGUCUCAGAAUAUAAUCGUUAUAUGUGGGUUUAUCAGAAACGGCUAGUCGUUUCCG
rnacentral:misc_RNA from 1 species